rnacentral:lncRNA from 1 species
AGCAAAUAGUAUUUUAAAAGAGAAUUUAAUUUGAUGAAGAUUCAUAAUUACAUAAAGUAAAGAGGAAAGAAUAAAAAAAACAUGAUGAAAAAAGAGAAGAGUUGAUAAAAAAUGGAGAGAAGAGAAAAUACAGAGAAAUGAAAGGAGAAGAUAAUGUGUAGGAGAGUGUGUCAGAUACAAACAUGGGACCAAUGUGUAAAAGAUAGUUCUCUGUCAUGCAACACUGUUGCUCUGUGUUUUAGAAAGAUAAUUAGUAGGGGUAAAAUAGUAAAAAAAUAUGGAUUCUAAAGUUAAGGGUAUAUUGCAAUUUAAAGGUAACUUUAGGUGCAAUGGUGCCAAUUUCUCAUUUUAAUACAGUCUUUCAUGGCAACUGAAAGCAAAUCUGCUACGAACGAUUUAUUCAGUAACUAAAAAAGAUAAACAUGUUUUAAAGAAAUGAUUAAUCGGGUUGUACACGCAAUACACAUUUAUAUUAAACGAAUAUAAUAUUGCUUUAGGGACCAAACGAUCUAAUACACAUUUAUAUUAAACAAAUAUAAUAUUAAAUUUUCAAAUUUAUAUAAAAUAGUAUAUAUCCUUCUGUUUCAAGAAGAACAUAAUUUGAUAUUUUUACAAAGAUUAAAAAUGAUUUAAAUGUAUUCAUGUUCUUAAUAAAUAUAUAUAUUUUAUCAAAACAUUUAUUUGAAAAACCUAUUUA